GGAGGGGUUUGGGGAAAGCUCUGCUUCAGCUGUGGGGCCACAGAAGGCAGGACUCAAGGAUGGUCUCCACCAUGGCCUGGUCCCCUCCCCUGCUCAGCCUCCUGGCUCACUGCACAGGUUCCUGGGCCCAGUCUGUGCUGACUCAGCCGCCCUCAGUGUCGGGGAACCCAGGACAGAGGGUCACCAUCUCCUGCACUGGAAGCAGCUCCAACAUCGGGGAUAAUGAUGUGCAAUGGUUCCAACAGCUCCCAGGAAAGGCCCCCAAACUAUUCAUAUAUGGUGAUAGCAAUCGUGAGUCUGGAGUCCCUGAUCGAUUCUCUGGCUCCAAGUCUGGCAGCUCAGCCACCCUGACCAUCACUGGGCUCCAGGCUGAGGACGAGGCCGAUUAUCACUGCCAGACCUAUGAUGACAAUCUCAAUGCUCGCACAGUGCUGCAGGCCUGUGAGGAAGUGAGACAAGAACCCCUGUGUCAUCUGGGAGCUGGGUGAACACUGCAGCUGCUGCAGCUCAGGUUUGGCCUGUGCCCUGUGACUUCUGCUCAUUCUCUGGCUGCUGACCUGGACCCAGGUUCCCCCAGGGAUGCUGGGAGGGAAAGUUGCUUCUCUCCCUUCUGUCUUUAAUGUCACUCACAGCAGCACUUUCCCAGACUAAGGGUCUAAACAAAACUGAAAGGCCAACUCCCUCCAGCUGGGGACAGUUGACUUUCAGACUGGUUUGUAUUUAUUAUUUUGUGUAAUGAGAACAAAAAUGUGACAUUGUGUUGGACUCCUGACCCUACCUUGGAGCCUGAGCACUGUGUGUGCUGUGUGUGAAGGAUGAGUCAGCCGUUUGCAUCUCAUCUUAUAAUGUCCUUCAGUGUACUCCCUGCUGACCUGCUGUUUUGUUUUCUGAUUUCAGUACAAAAUAUGACCACUGACAAGUAUAAAAUUAUAACAAACGGUGGUUUCCACAGGUCUGGGGUGAAGGGGGUGGCCACGUGGGUAAAGGCAGUGAAAUGGAUCAACUCCCAGUUGUGAAAUGAAUGGUCUGGGGACAUCGUGGACAGCACGGGGACUGGGGCGGAGAUGCUGGAUCAUGAGUGUGUGGACGCAGCUAAACCAGCAGAACCCAAAUAUUCGCAGCACAAGAAAUAAUAAACAUUGUUACCAUGUGUAGCGGUGGAAGUUAAAUAAAUUCAUCUUGGUGAUGAAUUUGCAAUAUUUAUCAACAUGGAAUGGUGAUGUUGUGUAGCGAAAGGAAUAUAAUAUUGUAUAUCAAUUAUAUCUCAAUUAAAACGUUACAGUAAAUAAAGUGAAAUUAUAAAAUAAAUUAGAAUUUCUGUUCAC